rnacentral:rRNA from 1 species
ACGAACGCUGGCGGCGUGCUUAGCACAUGCAAGUCGAACGGAAAGGCCCUGCUUUUGUGGGGUGCUCAAGUGGCGAACGGGUGAGUAACACGUGAGUAACCUGCCCUUGACUUUGGGAUAACUUCAGGAAACUGGGGCUAAUACCGGAUAGGAGCUCCUGCUGCAUGGUGGGGGUUGGAAAGUUUCGGCGGUUGGGGAUGGACUCGCGGCUUAUCAGCUUGUUGGUGGGGUAGUGGCUUACCAAGGCUUUGACGGGUAGCCGGCCUGAGAGGGUGACCGGCCACAUUGGGACUGAGAUACGGCCCAGACUCCUACGGGAGGCAGCAGUGGGGAAUAUUGCACAAUGGGCGGAAGCCUGAUGCAGCAACGCCGCGUGCGGGAUGACGGCCUUCGGGUUGUAAACCGCUUUCGCCUGUGACGAAGCGUGAGUGACGGUAAUGGGUAAGGAAGCACCGGCUAACUACGUG